AAUGAACGCUGGCGGCGUGCCUAACACAUGCAAGUCGAGCGGUAACGGCCCGUUCGGGGGUACACGAGCGGCGAACGGGUGAGUAACGCGUGGGUAACCUACCCAGAGGUUGGGGAUAGCCCCGGGAAACCGGGGGUAAUACCGAAUACGUCACUACUGACGAAAGUCGGUUGUGAGAAAGGCGGGGAUCCUUCGGGACCUGUCGCUUCUGGAUGGGCCCGCGUCCGAUUAGCUUGUUGGUGGGGUAAUGGCCCACCAAGGCUGCGAUCGGUAGCCGGCCUGAGAGGGUGAACGGCCACAUUGGGACUGAGACACGGCCCAGACUCCUACGGGAGGCAGCAGUGGGGAAUUUUGGGCAAUGGGCGCAAGCCUGACCCAGCGACGCCGCGUGGAGGAUGAAGGCCUUCGGGUUGUAAACUCCUGUCAGGUGGGAAGAAAUGCUCGUCGGUUAAUAGCUGACGAGAGUUGACGGUACCACCAAACCCCGGAAGCCCCGGCUAACUCCGUG
rnacentral:rRNA from 1 species